GGCGUGGGGCGGGCUAGCAAAGUGACAUGGCAGGCUCUCAAUGGCUAUGUGUCAACUCAUGCCCCAAACCCCAGCUCCCAACUCAAGCCCCACCAUACCCCACAGUCUAAGAUCACUUCAUCCUCCUCUGAGAUAGUUGGCAAAAAGUUAGAACCUAGAGAAAAGGCGUUUAACUUUUGGUGUUGUUUCUGAGCGUUUGGAUCGUGAACCUACC